rnacentral:rRNA from 1 species
UACGGGGGGAGCGAACGUUGUUCGGAAUCACUGGGCUUAAAGGGUGCGUAGGCGGCCAUGUAAGUGAGGUGUGAAAUCCCUCGGCUCAACCGAGGAACUGCGCUUCAUACUGCAUGGCUUGAGGGAGACAGGGGUAAGCGGAACUGAUGGUGGAGCGGUGAAAUGCUUAGAUAUUACAUGGAAUACCAAUUGCGAAGGCAGGUUACUACUAAUGGAUUGACGCUGAUGGACGAAAGCGUGGGGAGCGAACAGG